UACGUAGGUGGCAAGCGUUGUUCGGAAUUAUUGGGCGUAAAGGGCGCGUAGGCGGCCGGUUAAGUCAGCUGUGAAAGCCCGGGGCUCAACCUGGGAAUGGCAAUGGAAACUGGCGGGCUGGAGUAUGGCAGAGGGGGGUGGAAUUCCGCGUGUAGCAGUGAAAUGCGUAGAGAUGCGGAGGAACACCGAUGGCGAAGGCAGCCCCCUGGGCCAAUACUGACGCUCAGGCACGAAAGCGUGGGGAGCAAACAGG
rnacentral:rRNA from 1 species